rnacentral:rRNA from 1 species
GAGGUGUCGAGAGUCCCCUGGGGGACCGCACGCCUCCUCCAUAGGAGCGAUCGGGGGAUUGCAGGAUUCGUGAACCGCGUUUCCGCACCGCUCUGCGGUGGGCACGUGGUCGUUUCGAAACCGUUGGCUGCCCCCUGCUCGUGGGAGGCUGGAGGCUCGCGGCGCACGUCGGUCGCCCACCC